rnacentral:rRNA from 1 species
UAUUGAGUUUGAUCCUGGCUCAGGGUAAACGCUGGCGGCGUGCCUAAAACAUGCAAGUCGCACGGCACUUUCGGGUGCAGUGGCAGACGGCUGAGUAACGCGUGGGUGACGUACCUAUAGGUGGGGAAUAACUGCCCGAAAGGGUGGCUAAUACCGCAUACGCCUGCACUUUCGGAGGUGUAGGGAAAGCCGCAAGGCGCCGAUGGAGCGGCCCGCGUCCGAUUAGCCAGUUGGUGGGGUAACGGCCUACCAAAGCGACGAUCGGUAGCUGGUCUCAGAGGAUGAUCAGCCAGACUGGGACUGAGACACGGCCCGGACUCCUACGGGAGGCAGCAGUUAGGAAUUUUGGGCAAUGGGCGCAAGCCUGACCCAGCAACGCCGCGUGGGUGACGAAGGCCUUCGGGUUGUAAAGCCCUUUUCUUAGAGAAGAUAGUGACGGUAUCUGAGGAAGAAGCACCGGCUAACUACGUGCCAGCAGCCGCGGUAAUACGUAGGGUGCGAGCGUUGCCCGGAUUUAUUGGGCGUAAAGGGCGCGUAGGCGGCUCUGCACGUCCGUUGUGAAAUCGCCCGGCUCAACUGGGCGGGGUCAGCGGAUACGGCGGAGCUUGAGCAAGCUAGGGGGCAGUGGAAUUCCCGGUGUAGUGGUGGAAUGCGUAGAUAUCGGGAGGAACACCAGUGGCGAAGGCGGCUGCCUGGGGCUUUGCUGACGCUGAUGCGCGAAAGCGUGGGGAGCGAUCCGGAUUAGAUACCCGGGUAGUCCACGCCGUAAACGAUGUCGACUAGGUGUCGGGGGUAUCGACCCCCUCGGCGCCGCAGCUAACGCAUUAAGUCGACCGCCUGGGGACUACGGCCGCAAGGCUAAAACUCAAAGGAAUUGACGGGGACCCGCACAAGCAGCGGAGCGUGUGGUUUAAUUCGAUGCAACGCGAAGAACCUUACCAGGUCUUGACAUCUCGUCGCACCGCCGGGAGACCGGCGUACCCGCAAGGGACGGCGAGACAGGUGCUGCAUGGCUGUCGUCAGCUCGUGCCGUGAGGUGUUGGGUUAAGUCCCGCAACGAGCGCAACCCUUGUCCUUAGUUGCUACGCAAGGGCACUCUAAGGAGACUGCCGGUGACAAACCGGAGGAAGGUGGGGAUGACGUCAAGUCCUCAUGGCCCUUAUGGGUAGGGCUUCACACGUCAUACAAUGGUCGGAACAGAGGGUUGCCAACCCGCGAGGGGGAGCUAAUCCCAGAAAACCGAUCGUAGUCCGGAUUGCACUCUGCAACUCGAGUGCAUGAAGCUGGAAUCGCUAGUAAUCGCGGAUCAGCAUGCCGCGGUGAAUACGUUCCCGGGUCUUGUACACACCGCCCGUCACACCAUGGGAGUGGGUUUUACCAGAAGUGGCUAGUCUAACCGCAAGGAGGACGGUCACCACGGUAGGAUUCAUGACUGGGGUGAAGUCGUAACAAGGUAGC